GGGUAUGGGAUGAUAACAUCUCCGCAGUGGCUUCGGCAGCCAGGUUUUGCUACCGAUGGUGUUGAAGCUUUUACCGUCAAUAUAACAUUAAGCAAGAUCAUAAGCUGCAUAAGCACUAGUGAUCUGAUGGAACCCAUGGCUGUUUUUUCUAGACUGGGGGAUACCAAUGCUUCAAUUUACAAAUUCGGAAACAUAUAAAAAAGGUUAGGGAAGCCUGCUUGACCUUACUAAAUACUAACAGUAGGGAGGAUGUAAAGUGACCCAAUAGACGAGUGGGGAAUAUCAGUGUUGUCUGUCCUUUGGCUUCCGCUGUUGAAUAACGCGUGGUGACUUUGGAUUGUCCAUAAUUUCUUGGAAUGGAUGAGAUGCUAACUUUGAUUCUGUCAAAUUUUAUUUAGUGCUAAUAAGUGGAAAACUUGGGUCUUUUCACUUGGUUUUGCUUGCAAUACAAGUAGAUUUUAUGAUUUUCUUUUACAUGAUAAUAUAAUAUAACAAAGUAAAGUUAAAAAUAAUUGAAAUGCGAAUAAAUUUGAUGUGAAAAUGAUAAUAAAAAUAUAUAUUCUCUUUUAUUAAAAAAUUAUUAAAAAGUUCGAACUCCAAUAUUUAGAGUCUUUGUUAACAUUCCAAUUGUCUUAAUCAUCACAACUGUACAUGUUGACUAACAAUCUUCAUCAUCACCAAGUAAUUACUCCAAAAUUUGUCGAAACUAAUAUUAAAAACACUCUUUACCUUCCCUAUUUUAGACCCAUUCUAAGCAAUCAACUUCUUGAAAGUGAUCAUGGCUUGCAAAUGACCCUUAUAAUCAUGCAAAUUCUUCAAAGUAAUAAAAGUAAUAGCAAAACGUUUCUCACUAGGACGACAAUCAACCCAAAGUUCAUUUGUGAUUAUACACAAAAAUUGUAAUAGAAGAAGCAUGCUAAACUAAACUCUUAACAUGAGAUGUUUUACCAACAUCAUUCAAAAUUAAAUUGACACAAGAUGUUGUACAUGGUGACCAAAAGAUGUUAGGAUACUUUUCAUUAAAAAAAAUUUCCUAACAGCUUUAUAAGUUGCAGCAUUAUAUGUAAUUAACUAGACCACAUUGCUCAAACCAACAAUUUUUACAAUCUUCGCAAAUAAAUUGCAAAGAGUAUCGACAUCUAAAAUCAUGUUUGAUGCGUUAACGGGUUUGCUAAAGCAUAAUCUUUUAGGAAAAUACAAUAGAAAAUUGGUUGAUGACUUUUGUCUUGUAUCUUUCUACCCACCUCCCAUUAUGGUGCUUCCACAUUCCACUCAAAUACUGUAAAUCCCUUUUUGAGUAUUCUAGUAGAUUGGUUCACAAUGCAUGAUAUGAUGGAGCUUUGUAUCUCAAUCCCAUAGAUGCUAUGGCAUCAAGGCACAAUUGAAACUUGUCAAUCUUUGAUCCUAUUUGUGGAGUCUAAAAACUCCAUUGGCAAUAUACCAAAUAAAUUAUUUUAUUAUUUUAAUAUUUUACUAUACCCCUAGAGAACACUUGCUAAUCUCUUGACAUUGCUUAUGGAGUCUAAAAACUUCAUUGGUAAUGUACCAAAUAAUAUUCCAAAUAAAAAAGCAUUAACUUGACAGUGUAAUUUUUUUAUUCCAUAAGCAUUCUUAAAAAAUUAACAUUGUCUUUUUUAAUAUCCAUUUUUUUAAUAUUUGACUAUACUCCUACAGGACAUUUGUCCACCCCUGAUCAUGCUUAUGAAGUCUAAAAAGUCUACUAAUUGUGUCUUGUUAUAAAAUAAAGAGAGAUGGAGAGAAUAAAGAACAAAGAAAAUAUGGAAGCAAUAGAGAAUGUACUUUAUUGAUCAAUUAGGAUGAUUACAAUGCUUCAUCAGAGUCUCUAAUUAUAGGCAUAAGAAGUAUAAAAUAAGUAAAGAUCUAAUUCUAAUAACUAUUAGAAUUAAAAGGACAUUAAAAUUUUAUCUUGAUCAUGUCUCACCAAAUCGGCGAAAUUACCUAUCCAAAAUUCAAUUCACCUAUACAAUAACUCCAUAAAUAUUUAAUAAAAAUAUUUAAGGGUUUGGUUUACAGAAAUGAGGUCCCAAUACCUCAUUUUUCAACACCAUUGACUUAAGGGUCGAAACACUUGUACUUUAACUAACUAUUCAAUCAACAAAUUUGUCAAACCAAAAUUUAAUAUAAUAUUAUCACCUCGAUCAUCAGAGAACGGGGUUCUGAAACCACCAUUUCUAGCACCACUAAAAAAUGAAUUGCUACAAUAAACAUCAAUUAAAUUAUUAUUUUUGUAUGUAUCGUUAUUAUAUGUCAAAUUUUUAUUUCAAAUUUAUGGUCAAUUAAUUAUUUAGAUUUAAAAUUUCUUUCAAACCUAGAAAUGAAAGCAUUUUUUACUUUGGCAUAAUGAUAAAAAAUUAACCCCUAUUACUGUUUUUGUCACUUUUGUUAUAAUUCUUUUUUUUUAACCACUUUGGCCCCUACCUUUCAAAUUUUAGUUAAACUGUAUUUCUUUAGGUGAAAAUUUUGGUUAAACUAUUAAAAUUUUAAUAGCAUCAACAUGAAAAUUUGCAUGUUUUUCAUAAAAAUUUAAAAAUUAUUAAAAUUAUUAAAAUUUUGAUAAAGUUUAAAAAUUUCAAUAAUUUAUACUCUAAAAUGAAGUACAAGUAAACUAUUAUGUAGGCUACAACAUUAGUGUCAUUAAAAUUUUAAUAGUUCAACCAAUUUUCCAUCCACAAAAAAUAAUUUGACUAAAAAUUGAAGGUUGAUGACUAAGGUGAUCCAAAAAAGUAAGGUUAAAGUAACAAAAUGGAUAUACAUUAGGAGUUAAAUUUAUCAUUAUGCCUUAAGCUUUUUAAAAUAAAGAUAAAAUUAUUUUACUAUGUCAUAGUGGUUUGAAAUUUUAUAAAUUAUAUGAAUUCUUUUAUGUUUUUUACCAUAAAAUUAUUUUAUAUUAUUAAAUAUUGCUAAUAAUAAAUAUAUUAUAUAAUAUACACAGUAAUAUCUUUCACGUGAGUUAAAACUAAUUCCAAUUUUCAGAAAAUGAGACAUGUCCAAAGCAAUUCAAUUAUUUAAUCAUUUGAAACUUGAGUCUUCAUCCUUGCAACUUAGUUAUGCUUCAAUAAAUGAACCCCACUUUGAGACAUUUUGAGGAAACAAAGUAUUUAUAGAAAUAAUUAUAAAAUGCAUAAAUAAAAUAAAACAAGAUGUCAAGAAAUAAAUUGAAACAACGCAUAUAGAUUAAGCUCCAUCUAUUGUAAUUUAACACUAUAUUUCUCCCGAAACUUGGAAAUUUAGAAGCAAAUUAUUUAAAAUCAUACAACAUCGAGCUACCUUAGGUUCAAAUGUGAUUACGUACAAAUGGUAACCUGAUUACAUACUUAGCGAGCACCUUCAAGUUCAAAUGUGAUUUUGUUAUUUAUGCUAUCAUACCCCAUCCCUAUCGAGCUGCUUGUUACACCAUCAUCGUAAGUGCUGGGAAACUUACCAAGCAAGUAUUCAGAUUCUUCGCUUACUAAAUUACUUUUACUCCAAGGAUGUUUAGCCAUUGCUUGCAGUCCUGCUAAUUCAUGGGCAACUUCCUUCAUUGUUGGCCUUUCCUCUCCCUUCACUCUCACACAUCUCCUAGCUAAAAUUGCUACUUCCAGAAGCUGCUCAACAUUUUCAUCAUUAAGCACUCGAGGAUCGAGAAUGUCGAGCAAACGGUCUUCUUUCAUCAAAGAACUGAAGUACAAUGGCAAAACUCGAUUUUCUUCCGGUCUUUUGAAACAUACCACUUUUUGUCCCGUUAACAACUCCAUAAGCACAACCCCGUAGCUGUAAACAUCACUUUUUUCAGUAAGAAGGCUUGAAAGCAUGUAUUCAGGAUCCAAGUAACCGAAAGUUCCUUGCACAAUUGUAGUUAUUUGUGCUUCGUCGGAUGGGAUCAAUCUGGAAGCCCCAAAAUCAGAAACUUUUGGGGUGUAAUUGUCAUCUAACAGUAUGUUUGCCAACUUGAUGUCUCGGUGAAUGAUUGGAAUGGAAGCUGCAGAGUGCAAAUAAGAAAGGGCUUCUGCUGUUUCAGUGGCUAUUCUCAAACGGGUCUCCCAUGAAAGAUAAGAUGUAGCAUCAUCAUUAUGCAAAUGGUGAAAAAGGGUUCUGUUGGUGAUAUAUUCAUAAACUAACAGCGGAACUUGUGUCUCCAAACAACAUCCUAGGAGUUUGACAACAUUCCUAUGGUUGAUUUUGUAGAGCACCAUUAUUUCAUUAAUGAAUUGUUCAACUUGGCUAGGAUCUCCAAUUAUUGACUUUUUGAUGGCAACAAUUUGAUUAUCAGCCAAUAUUCCCUUGUACACUGUCCCUUGCCCUCCCUGUCCUAAAAUUCUGCUUUCAUUGUAAUUGUUUGUUGCCUUCUCGAGUUCCUCAGCUGUAAAUACUUUAACAUCUUCACGGUACCCUUGUCGUUUUGAAAGUUGUUCCCGUAACAAAAUGCCACCAUUUUGCUGAAAGUUAGCUUCUCUUAAUUUGGAAAUUUGCCUUUGCCUCAGCAUCCAACAGCACAAUACUAUCCCCAAGAGAAGACCAAGAAACCCAAUGGCAACCCCUAAGGUCAAAGCAUAAAAUAAUAAUAAUAGUUACAUUAGCCAUGGUAAUGUAAUCUAAAAGUGAAAAGUCAUGCAAAAUUGUAUAUUGAGAGUAAUAAAUAACAAAAUUGUUUGUGUCAAGCAGAUCCAAUUGACUCAAGAUUGAGUUGGGUAAGUUAAGGAUGAGUCCUGCUUGUAAAUCUAGUUCCACUUGUUUACAAAUUACUUCAUAAAAAUAUAAUCGAAAUUAUUGUUAGAUAUAAAAAAUAAUUAUUCCAUAAUGGAAAAUUGUGGUUAAAGAUGAACAUGGACUCACCCCAAGGCUGCAGAGAAGUUUAUUGAUUUUUUUAAGGAUAAAUCUCAAAAUUAUACAUGAAUUAUGGUUUAUUGUGUAAUUGUAUACAUGAAAUUUUGAUUUGAUCCAUUUUUUUGUAAUUUAUUAAUAUAAUUAUUGAUAUAACAUCAUUUCAUGAUUAUGUAUUGUAUACAUAAAUAGUUGUAUUUAUUCAAUAUAAAAAUAAAUUGAUGUAUUUAUUUUUUUAAAUGCGUAUGAUUAAAUCAAAAUUAAAGUUUCAAAUAUACAUUUGAACCACAAUUAGAGUUUCAUGUGUACAAUUGCACAUUAAACCAAAGUUCAUGUAUAAUUUUGAGAUUUAUCUCUUUUUUAUUUUAAUUAUUUAUAUUUUAAAUAAUUUAACCGGAGUAAGAGAACAAGUUGGAUAUGGAUGAGUGUAUAAUAAUUUCAUGUCUUUAAAAAUUGAUAACGAGCCAAAAUUUUAUUGAUGCUUAAAAUCUUUAACUUCAUUUAAUUUUUGAAAAUAUUUUCUAUUUUUUUAAAAAUUAAAAAACAUGUUUGAUAAAGAGGAAUAAAAUUUUGUUUUCAAUAAUGAAAACAGGAUUGGUAAUUAUUUUUCUAUAAAGAAAUAUGAAAAUUGAAAAAAAAAUAAUGAAAACCAAAUUUUUCUAUUUUUAUUUACAAAGUCUUUUUAGUACAAAUAAUGAAAACAAAAUUUUAUUAUUUUUCUAAUUUUUACAUAUUUUCAUAAUUUUUUAAAAAUUAUUUUCAAAAAUUAGAACUAAACACAAUUUCUUGAAUGUUUUUCAUUUUUCAAGGAAAUGAAAUUGGAAUUUACUCCCUGAAACCAAACGGAGUAUUUUAAUGUAUAAUUCGGGGUUACUAACCUAGAGCAACAAUAAGAGGAGAUGUCUUGGACUGAUCCUUGUUGGGUAAACUGCAACCUGUUCCACUUUUCUUACCAUCGCCUUCAUAACCCAUCGGACAUGAACAAUUGUACGUCCCAGGUAAGUUGGUACAUAUUGCCGUUCCAUUGCAAGGGCUCAUACUUUCACACUCGUUUAUAUCUGAAAUUUGCAGAUUGUAUGCAAGUAAUAAAUAACACUAUCUUUAAUGUUAGAAACUACAAAUCUAUGGGGUAUAUAUACCUAUAGUUACCUUGACAUCCAUUAGGGAGGUAAGGGUUCCCCAUGUAACCCUCAAGACACUUGCACAAAUAUCCAGAGUUAUUUUCUGAAUCAACGCAUUUACUAUACUCUUUGCAUGCGAAAUUGUUUACAUCCAUAUUCGCUUCGUUGCAACUCGUAUUCCCGAUUUUCCAAUCAAGAGUGAUUGGAAACUGCCUUCUUUGAAACUCAAAACCACGAAGAUCUGAAGCAGAGAAGGUAUAAUUAUCGACCUCUGCAACAAAUGCAUAGCUGCAGGGGUUUUCGGGCAACACAUUGGUAUGGUUGGCGUAGCUUUUGAGACUUAUGUUGCAGCUCCUCACAUCCCUUGGGAUACUUGUCUGACAGCAACCAAUCCCAGAGCAAGACCCGUUUGAAACAUCAGCGAUGUUGUUACAGAACGACAAACAACCAGUUGCGUAACGUUGUCCGUAGGAAUCUUGCAGGACAGCAUAAGUGUCGCACCCGAUUGCAGUAAACUUGUUCUUGUUAUUGUUUAUUGAAAAUUCAGAAAAUCCGAAGUAGUAAAAUAACCCAUUCCCGUCUAAUGUGUUGUAACAAUCAUAGCUCGUAGGAGAAAGGAUGCGCAACUGACCAUCGGUAGAUAUGUUGAUGACUUCGACGUUACUGUUGCCUAAGAACGCUUUGUUGGGUUUAUUACUGGUGCUACAUGUGAUGAGAAAGUGUUCAGUGAUGUUGCAAUCGCCGCCGGUACCGAACGGGUAUGGGAUGAUAACAUCUCCGCAGCUUUCUCCGCAGCCAAGUUUUGCUACUGCUGGUGUUGAAGCUUUUACUGUCAAUAUAACAGUAAGCAAGAUCAUCAGCUGCAUAAGCACUAGUGAUCUGAUGGAACCCAUGGCUGUUUUUUUCUAGACUGGGGGAUACCAAUGCUUCAAUUUCCAAAUUCGGAAACAUAUAAAAAAG
rnacentral:lncRNA from 1 species